GGGGAGGGGCAGAGAGAGGGAGAGAGAGAGAGAGCCGGAUGCGGGGCUCCAUCUUACAAACCGCGAGGUUAUGACCUGAGCUGAAACCAAGAAUCAGAUGCUUAACCGACUGAGCCCCCCAGCAACCCCCCUGCCCCCCGGGGAUGGUAUUUCAGGUAGAAGGAAGGACACACGUCACAUCAUGGAAACCUGCAACAGCUUCCUGUGUGUGGGAACCCCCUCCCCCCACCCGCCGGAGCUCAGCAUUCCGGCUCCAGAACUGCACCUCCUGGGCGUGACCUCCACACUGUAAGACGCGUGACCUUGGGCAGGGCCGACCGCGCUCCCCAAACCUGCUUCCUCCGCCAUAAGGGGGGGCGUGGUCACGUCUGCGUCACAGGCUUGUCGUGAGGCUGGGACGAAGCCGAGCGCGCAGCUGCCCGCAGGUGUGUGGCACGUAGUAGGUGCUCAGUGCACGCCAGCUCCUCUAACUCGGGACGCAGGCGGCACGGCACACCAGACGUCCACCAGACGUAGGGGCACACGACUGCGUUCGGGCACCGGAGCCAGCAAAAGGAUGGGGAGCACCACCACCUGGCUGGCGUCUCGUGAGGUGCGCUGUGGCCUGGAAGCGUGGAGUCCUGGCCGCAGGGUUCAGAAGGCCUCACUGUGCUGGCUCAGCCCCAUCAGUCAGCCUGUUCCUUCCUCGAGCCCCGUUCCGUCCGCCCGGGAGGUUCGGCUCACAACCCACCUCGAAGGGUCGCGGGAAGGGGGACGCUGAGUAACAGAAGGUCAGCCUCCGACCCACUCGAGACGAGACGCGGCAAACGUUACUUCGAUGGGAACAGGCGCUUCGGUGCAGUCGAACGGCAAAGCCCUGUCGGCAGGCCCGCACCUGCACGGCCUCACUCUCUCCUGGCCCGUUCUCGGGCCUCCGGAGCUGCCUGCUUCCCCUCGCGCGGCAGUCAGGGCCCGAUCGCCCCUGACGUGUCUGCCGUCCCCUAGGCCGGGGCCACGUCCCCGAGGCUGGAAAGCGGACCGAGAAAGCUUCCGCUGUCACACCUUUCCUUUAGCCGCAGCUUGUGGGCAGACGGCUCUCGUUCCUCCUCUGGCCCCGGACCCGGGAACACCGUUUGCUUUACAUUUUCAUCUCGCGACACCUGUCUUCUCUGCCGCAACAGUUUCCGGGAGGCGCGGCGGCCCGGUAGCUGCCCGCGGGCCCAGCCCGCCGCUCCGACCGGGGCCUGGUGUGCAAUGAGCCGGUUCGGGAGACCCGGCAGGAGUUUCACCAGUUUCAGACAUAAGGCCUGGCUCAGGCGGAGCAGGGCCGGGACCUGUGUCCCCAGCCUUGUACCCUUGAUACUCAAGACAGCAAGCCACUCGCGAACAUGAUGGCCCCCGGGAAAGUGGGCGAGGAGGCAGCGAGCCUUGGUGGUCAGCGGCAGGGAGUUUAACACCCGAGGCCCGGACCGGACGAGCGAGCGGACAACGUGGACACUUAGUGUGUGUGCAGAGGACAGAGGAGGAGGGGAGCUGCUUGUCACUGCCUGCUCCUGGCCGAAGGCGGUGCUGGGAUUGGCGGUGGGCGGGCGCUGGGAGGGCCACCAGGGCAGGGUCACCGGGCAGGUCCCUGUGUACCUGUGCCUGUGCACGCGUGUGUGGCUGUGACCCAGUCCUCAGUAUCCAGCAUCCAAUGUCCCCUUCUACUAGCGCGAGUGAUGCCGGAAGCUCACCCAGCCGCCAAGGACUCUCGCCCCGCGCCAGGCACCGUGCUAAGCAUAUGACACGGUGACUCACUUCAUCCUCCAAAAACAGUAGUUGUUACGAUCACCCCCAUCCUACAGCCGAGGAAACUGACAGACAGACAAGUGCAGGGGCCUUGUCUCUCUCUACCCCCUGCGGGUUGUCUCCGCUGAGCUGCAGCACCCCUGCGGGACCUGCUCCAGCCGAUGACGUGGGAGGGCCAGCGGCACCCCGGCCGGGGGCUCUGGGAGCCAGAGUGCGCUCGGUGACCGACUGCUGGUGUCCAGCAUUGCUGUGCCAUCAGCCUGCACCCCGGGGGAAGGACCAGCCCCCCGCGGUCUGCCUUUGUGGGGCCGUUAUCAGAACACAGCUCAGCCUGUCUGGACGGAGUGGGAUCCAGGCCCCUCCAGCACGGUGAGGACUCAGAAGACCCCACGCCUGGACGUCUUCCCCAGUGUCUUCGCUGACUCCUUGUCCCCCCUCCCCCGCCCCCCGCCCCGUACUCCAGACAGACACGGGUCACAUCGUGCGCCCAUGCUCGUCCCUGUCAUCAGACUGAGCUCCCAGGGGCGCACUUCUGGUCUCUGGCUUCCCAGCAUUUAGCGCAGAGCCUGGGGGCACAGGAGGUGCUAAGAGCAUGUUCACGGAGUGAACAUCUGUAGGAAAGGAUCCUGGGCACCGCAGUUACCCCGAGGGACAAAGCCCCAGGUGUCCAAGAAGACCAGUCCACCUCUGACCCCACGUUCUUGGCAGGUGACACGGGAAGGCAGGUAGCUAAUAUGCCGGGACCCUGGCCACCAGAGGAAAAAAAGAGGUCCACACGGAGGCACGUCCUCUUGGGUCUGGGGAGAAAACGGACGGCAAGCAGAAAACGGUGACUGACCCCAAAGAGUGGAGGACUGGAGUGGGAGCACCUGAGACCUCCCUGCGCGACCUGGGGCGAUGAGGUGGGCAGAGCAGGAGCUAACACGCCCACGCCACCGAAGAAGGAGCGGAAGGUCCCUGCAAGAUGAGGUCACUGUCCUGAAGGCACGUAGCGGGUGGAGCGGAUUUUCACCCCAAGUCGGCCUGGCUAACAGGCCCCACGAUGUCGCCGUCACAUCCCCGGUCCAAGGGCUGUAGGCUAGGACGGGAGCGUGGGAGGUUGUGUUGUGUCACUCGGCUGAGCAGGAGCCCCGUUCCCCCAACUCCUUGUCCUACAUGCUUGCAGCCAAGCCAAGCAGCCAGCCCAGGAGGUGUGUGGGCAGGCCUUGGGAGGCAGAGGAGGAGAAGCAGCCGCGUCCCCUUGCUGCGAGGGCUGCGGCAGCCCCGAGGCCCUGUUCUGGUUCUCUCUCUGCUGGCCCCCGGGAUCUCCUCCCCCAGCUGCCCUGACUCCUGGGCCGGGUCCACCGGCAGCUCCGGGACACAGGGCACCCACAUCAUGGAAGGGGCCGGCCGGAGGCGCCGUGAGGCCGAUGCAGGUGCCGGCUCAUUCUCGUGGGCUCCGCUCACUCUCGCAGGGACCCCUGGACCACCUGCUCUGUGGACCUCCGCGGCCGCACUGGACUAGGAUGGGUGACCAGCCAAUCUCUCGCUGCCGCGGUCGCACAAUGCCAAAU